UACGGGGGGGGCAAGCGUUGUUCGGAAUUACUGGGCGUAAAGGGCUCGUAGGCGGCCAACUAAGUCAGACGUGAAAUCCCUCGGCUUAACCGGGGAACUGCGUCUGAUACUGGUUGGCUUGAAUCCGGGAGAGGGAUGUGGAAUUCCAGGUGUAGCGGUGAAAUGCGUAGAUAUCUGGAGGAACACCGGUGGCGAAGGCUGCAUCCUGGACCGGUAUUGACGCUGAGGAGCGAAAGCCAGGGGAGCAAACGGG
rnacentral:rRNA from 1 species